GGUUUGUUAUGAUGUUCUGAAUAAAGCAGGAGAUACAUUUGGAAACUGUGGCGAGGAUGAAAACCAUAUACACAUAAAGUGUCUCCCUGAGAAUACACGUUGUGGGAAAAUUCAGUGCAAAGGUGGGAGUGCAUUUCCAGUCCGAGGUGGACAGGUGAAGAUUGUUGUCAGUUCUGUCAAAUUUAAGGGUGUGACAUAUAAUUGCAGAGGGAUUGUUUCUGACCUAGCUGAUGCCAGCACUCCAGACUUAGUUCAUCAAGGAACCAAGUGUGGCAACAACAAGCUGUGUCAUUAUGCACAAUGUAAGGAUUUGGCUGUCUUUAAAGUAAAGGAAUGUGACGACACCUGCAAUAAAAAAGGGGUUUGCAACAACAGAGGUAACUGUCACUGUGAUGUUGGCUGGGCUCCUCCAUUUUGUAAAACCAAGGGUCCAGGUGGCAGCAUUGACAGUGGGCCUAUGACUAGAACAGUCAAAGUUCUAGGAAGUAUACCUAAGCCAGCUGUUCUGGGUGUUACGAUCAUGGCACCAGCUUUAAUGGUCCCGGUAUUAGCCUAUUUCCUCACGAAGGUAUUUAUGAAGAAAGCCAAGAUUGCAAGUGCAAGAUCUCGAGCAAGUUAAAGAAAUGGUGGCUGUCCAAGCUUCAGAAAUCUUCCAGCCAACUGCAGGAGCUUAUGAAUCCAGACAAAUUGUUCUGUGCACCCAUGAUGCUCAAAUGUUGAUGUGUAUCACCAUGUACUGUAUUAAAAUGCUGUAAUCGUGGGAGAAGGGUGCACACCAGAUGCAUUUCAAUGAAUAAAAUAAGAUUUAUUCUGAAUGACUGCAAUUUCCCAAUGAAUAAAUACAUCAGAAAUACUUA